GGCUCUGUGGCGCAAUGGAUAGCGCACUGGACUUCUAAUUCAAAGGUUGUGGGUUUGAGUCCCACCAGAGUCG
rnacentral:tRNA from 1 species